rnacentral:rRNA from 1 species
UUCCAGCUCCAAUAGCGUAUAUUAAAGUUGUUGCGGUUAAAAAGCUCGUAGUUGGAUUUCUGUUGAGGUUGGGCGGUCCGCACUACGUGCGAGUAUCUGCUUCGGCCUUGGCAUCCUCUCGGAAAACGCUACUGUGCUUGAUUGCAUGGUGCGGGGUUCGGGACUUUUACUUUGAGGAAAUUAGAGUGUUCACGGCAGGCAAUCGCCCUGGAUAUAUUAGCAUGGAAUAAUAAUAUAGGAUCUGAUGCCUAUUUUGUUGGUUUCUAGGCGUGAGAUAAUGAUUAAUAGGGACAAUUGGGGGGAUUCGUAUUAUGGCGUCAGAGGUGGAAUUCUUGGAUUGCCAUACGACGAACUACUGCGAAAGCAUUUCUCAGGGAUGUUUUCAUCA